rnacentral:rRNA from 1 species
UUCUUUAAUUGAGUACUGGAAUGAAAGGUAGAUUCUAAGAGGAAUGUUUUGUUAAAUUAUUUUGAAUUUAAUUUAAAAGUAAAAAAGCUUUUAUGGAACCUUGGGACGAGAAGACCCUAGAAGCUUUUAUAAGAUUUAUUUUUUUGAUUGGGGCAAUUGACUGAAGAUAAAGAUUUUUAGUUUAAUAUUUAAAAGUUUUAAGUUACUCUAGGGAUAACAGCGUUAUUUGAUUGGCGAGUUCUAAUUAAUAAUCAAGUUUGCGACCUCGAUGUUGAAUUAAAAUUUAAAAUUGGUGAAGGAGCUAGUUAUUUUAGUCUGUUCGACUAUUAAAAUUUUACGUGAUCUGAGUUCAGACCGG